UAUCAUGGCCUCACAGUGACGAGCAUGUUCUGGGGCUUUGUUGGCUUCUUUGUGCCCUAGUUCGUCACUAAGCGGCCUAACUGGGGAGUUAUCAUCACCAUGAUGGUGACCUGUUCAGUUUGCCACUCUCUUUUGGCUGAUUGCAAUUUUGGCCCAAUGCAACCCUCUCUAUAGACCAUGACUGAAAGAUGAAACCACCUGGUAUCUGAAGCAUCAUUGGCCUUGA
rnacentral:lncRNA from 1 species